ensembl:lncRNA
AUUUUUUCUCCUUAAAGCACAUGUACCUGGGAGGUCACAGUCUUAACAAAGUCAAAGUUUUGUGUGUUUGAGAGCUUUGCCCUACUACCAUGUAAUUGAAAUCAAGCUUUUAAAAGCUCACGGUAAUAUGUUUGUUCUUUAACCUCACCCAACGAAGAGAGAGCGCUUUGCUGAGAGAACCCAUUGUUACGCUCCUGCACUUAACUGAUAAGGAACUGAUACAACCAGUAGCAAAGAAAGAAACUAAUAAUAAUAUAAAAAGAUUCACAUGCCUUCCUUCCCCAGCAUACUAAUGCCUUGCCCAAUGAAUUUCCCAAGUUGUUAACAAAUGAGGUGCAGUAUAUUUAAUAAUAUUAACAUAUUGUUGCAAGGCUUAUUUAAUAACAGGUAGGAGGGAUGAGUUCUCAUGUCAGAAAAUGGAGGGCCUCAUGCCAUUUGGAGACCUGCUCAUUAUCCGUUCUUACAAUUUAAUGAUAUAUGUGUCUAUUACCGAGGAGAAGUAGAGGAUCUACUCAGGAACUCUGUGAGAUUGAUUGACUGGAAAAACGCAUAAAGGCUUAAACUAUCUUACAUCAUCUGCCAUGCAUACAGGACACUUUCUCUGCUAUGUGAAAAACUCUGAGCAACUGGAGACAGUGAAAAUAUGUAAAUGGGACUGGGCUGAUUUCAAGGAGAUGACAUGUGGGUUCUGAAUGUGUUCGGCAAACCAGGAAAUCACAUCCUUCCCAUUCCAGGAACCAGGACCUCAUGAGCGAACUUCACUCAGCUGUCCCCAGAUGUUCAGAUACCAAGAAGAUGACAAUGAGGAGCCUGGGAGAUGGCAUUCCUUGAACCUCAACAACUCCAACAGUCUCACAAGCAUUCAAAUGGGUUAGAGGAGAGUUUGCUCUUGUAUUUCUUCCUGUAAUAGCACACACAUAUCAGACCAAUGUUUUACACCUCUUCAACACACACAGUGGCUGAAAUGGAUAAUUUGGAAAAGAGACGGAUGGCAACAAGUGUGAGUGUGGAACACUAAUCCUUAGCUGAUUCCACAAAAGUCGUAUACUAUUUAUUCAAUAGUAAGUGAGAAUGAAGCAAGGGUCUGCCCAUAUGAGAGGGCCGGAAGUGGAAGGACUGUCAUGGAUUUCAUCUGAAUCAGUUUGCAUUCACAUGUCUUUGGUUUAAUUCUUAGGGAGCCCCAAGUGGAGCCAGGAGAUGGGCUCAGUGAUCUUCGGGGACAUUCUGUGAUUCUGUGAUUCUCCACCUAUUAGGCAUAAAUUGAAAUGGCACUGAGAACCACAGUAAAGUUCAGCAAAUUGCACAGGGAAUUGGUUUUCAUCCAUCAGUUAGGAAAGAAAAGCUUGCAGGCCAAAAGAGAUCAGAAGUCUGUACGUUGUGCUGUGUUGCCAGCAUCAGCCACUGGCAGAUCGCAAUUCAGAAGAUGAAACAGUUUGCAGUGUAAAGACAGGGAGUGUUAACUGAGAAUCUUAAAAUGAAACGUAACUGUGUAGUUAAUAGCCUUAUGACAGGGCAAAGCAGAACAAAAUACGGAACAAGAAAGGACAUCUCCCAUGCUUCUUACUACAGGAAACAAACUUUCACUAUCGAUGACAAUAGCUAUUGUAGAAGAAGAUGGAUGGCAUUGACACAGUAUGUGAUUACUAAGAUAGAUUUUCUUGGUCAAGCCAAAUAUUUUUGAUUGAAGAAGAAAUAAAUAUAUUUUUCACUUCAUGUUAUAGCUGCUGUUGUCUGAAACCCAGUGGGGAAAAACAAUUGUAAAAACAUAUUUUGUUUUCCUGAUUAUUUUCCAAAGGAACUCUGAACAAAACACAUUCAGGAGUUGAAAAAUCCAACUGGCUCUGAUGUUUCCUGUUUUCCUGGAUUGCAGCAGUGCUGAUAGUCAGAUACGGCAUGAGAAGGGUGUGGGAAAUGGCAGCAGAACAUACCCUGCCCUGUCUUGGAACAUGAGGAACUUCACCUGUGCUCAAAGAGAAGAUCGAGGAAAACUGGCAGAGGGAGGAAGCGUAUCUGGAGUGUUUUGGCUGUCGUGUAAAAUUUAAAAGAAUGUAUAAAUCCAUUGCAAAGGCUGUGUUUUGUAACAAUCUCCUUCCGUGAAUUUUGCUGGUUUCUGAAAUUCCCCAUCUGCAAACUUCUAUUAUAUUCUUCUCAGUUCUUCCCUGAUUCUUCUUUUUUUAUUAUUAUUAUUGAAUCCCCCAGGAUUUUCUAGCCAGAGGAACAUGUAGCUCUCAUAAACGAUGUAGACCUGCAUCCCUUUGGCUUCUCUGCUCUGAUGCUCAGGGAAAACCUGAAAAUAGACAUCAGGAUGGUUUCUUCACCCUCUGCCACUGUCUGACAUAGAUGACCUUCAUCAAGUCACAUCAUCACACACACCCAUUUAUAGAUCAGAGAGGGCAGUACUGCCUCAUUUGAGCACUGCUGUGGGUUAUGGGAGCCUUGCUAACUGCAGGGGCUGUGCAAAGGGAGCGCUGCGCAGGUUCAGACUGUCCCUGUGCAAGGAUUCCUCCGACGGCAGCACCGCCACGUCCCGUCUCACAGCACCUGACAACAUUCCAGUUGGAGCUUGCACUUUCAGGCAGGGGCUUUCAAGUUUGAUCCCUUCAAAUCUCUGAAGUUCACCCGCACAAUUACCUCUGCUGUUCAAAGCAAGCCAGGGCUUAGAUGGAAAUAAAGAACACGAAAGGAUUUCCCAGGGUGCUCCUGGAUACAGAGAAAAAAAAAAAAAAAAAAAAAAAGGAAUGGAAAGGGAAAAAAAAAAAGAAGAGAGAAAGAAGAAAGAGAAGAAGCAUUACACCUUGAAGUUCUUGCAGUUUAUGUGAUAUUGUGUGAUAUUAAAUGGCCAAAUUCUGUUCUCAGGUGGCUGAGAUCAAGCCCUGCUAUGCUGCUGUUGCAGCCAUCAGCACACAUCUUGGUGCUCUGUGUGCUCAGGGGGAACAGCUGUGGGAUCCCUGAGGGUAUGGGGACCUAAUUUGCCCUAAAAAGCCCAGAGGACCUUUGCUAGCAGUUGUAACACUUCUCUCAAACAGUAUUGUGUUUUCAGCUGGAGACAGCAGCUGCCCCUUGCAGAAUUCAGGCUCCAUCAGACCGAAGCUCCAUCCCGUUGUUUUAUGAGAAAUUCACAUACACAUAGCUGUAAAUUAGACAUAUCAUGGAUUAACCUGUAAUAAGCUGCUCCUUUAGGUUUAAAAUUGUUACCAAUGAGCCGCAAAUUUUAACUAUUACCUACACCUUAUUCCCUCCCUGACUCCGUUUGCCCUGUUUCCAGUGUUGACCUCACUUCCUGCUUUUCUCUUUCUUCUCCUGCUAAUUAGGCAUAUUUGUAUGUCUUAGGAGGGCACCUGAUCUUGCUGCUUAUUUCCCACUUGGAUCAAAAGUCUUUAAAAAAAGUUUCAGCUUUUAAAACACAUUUUACGAGAUGACUAUAUAUAUAACUAACCUCUUAGGAUCGAUACUGACCUACAUCUUUUUCUUCUGUCAUAAUGGGCUUAUCUUUACCUGAUGCUUAAAAUAAUCUUUUCACCUGAGCAGUUCUGUCAUUUACACUUUCUUUCUCUUUCUGUCUGUUAAAAAAACAUUGCAAGGAAAAGAAAAAUCAUCUAUUGGAUACAGCCUGUUUGCACUGGGCACACAUGUUUAUGAAUCAGAUAAGACCUUUGUGUGUCAGGUAGGUGGUGGCACUAAAAGCUUUGUAUAUCACGACAUCAAAGCAGCCAGGAGAUGAAAGAGCAUAUUUUUGCAUCAUAAACAAUAUUUACAUAUUGUGAUAUUCCAAGAAUCUUUCAUUUAAACAGGUGGAAAAACAGGGAAGCAAGCACACAUGCAAGGCAAAAUCUUACUUGUGGUUGAUGAUUAAAUUUUAUAUGGCUUUGAUAUAACCACUGCAAUUAAGUGCAGUGAUGAGCAAGGACUUGUUUUGCUCUUUAUAGGGUACACAUUGUUUACUAAUCCCUGGUUCAUAUGAUAAAUCCGUCAUCAUCUGGGCACAGCUGCAAAUAAAAUUUUAAAAGGACAAUUUUCACCCAGUGGAGCAAAUUUCAGACUUCUUCUCUCUCCUGUGCAGUCUCACUGUAUUUUUUCCCCCUGUGCAAAGCUUAAUAUAGGCAACUUUUGAACUCAGACUCAGACUUCAGCCCUUUUGUCUCCAGAUUCUAUCAAUUGUCAGGCUCUGGAUCACACAUUCUCAAUGUAAAUAGAGGCUGGAGAUUCAUUUAGCUUUGCAGCCGAAGGUGGUUGUUAAAAACUGGAACGCGCUCAAUCACUGCAAAUCAACACACUGCAAUUUUCACUUUUCCUGAUUUUGAGCAUUCAUCACCACUUGCUCUUCACCCUUGAAAAGAAGGGCAAAAAGACAAAUUACUUUAAUUAGGAAUUAGUUAUGAGAGAAUGAGGUGUUCUAAUUAUAUCUAGAACCUCUUAAAUAGUUUCACUCAGGCUUAUUUGAUUUCUUAAUUACUGAAAGAGAAAAGCCGCGUGCAAAUUGUGUCAGUUUUUUAAAAGUGAAAUGCUGUCGCUCCUUUGAUAUGAUGGAUUAGUCUUCAAUGAACAGCGGUAAGGCAAUAACACCUCUAAGACAGCACAUGCAUUAGCACAGGACAAUCUUUUUUUGUUGAAACAUUAGAUAAUCACCUUCUCUCGUAUCUCAAAAUACAUUAUUUUAUACACUACAGUGUGAAACCAUAGAUGUGACAGGCUGUAAUGAUUUAUUUAUGAGACAUUAUUCUUUGAUGCAAGAAUACAUUAGGUUAUAGAUCCCAUUUCCACAGAUAUAAUAUGUCAUGUGCUGCAUCUGAGCUCCAGUAAGAUACUGUAGGAUGUGAGUUUCAUUUUGUAUAUAUAAAACUGCAUAUAAAUAUAUAUUUUAUGGCUCUAUCAACAACCAAAGUUGAAUAGCAGUUUCCCUUUUAAUGGAUCCUUCAAAUCAUAUUUUUCCUGGGCUUGUCUGAAAAUAUAUAUCAAAUUGGUGGUAGGUCUGAAGAGACUGUGGUGGCAACAGUAUUUAGUUUAUAAAUGCUUUGAAUACUAUUCUUUGUUAUGGAUGUUGAAUGUAUCUAUUUUAGCUAUUUCAGGAAUUAUGUAGAUCAUUUUGAAAGUAAUUAUCCAGAUUAUUAGCAGCAUUUUUCAACUGUAUCUUUGCUUGUCUUAAUAACAAGUCCAACUGUAUCUGAAACACAGAGUGCAGCUCAAAUUCUGAAUCAGAAAGCGCAGCACAAAUUUAAAAUCCCUCUAAAAAUGGUUUUCAUGAUUUCUUAUUCUAUUUUUCUUCCUCUCUUCUUUACUGAAGGCAAAAUUUGUGAAAGAUUCAGUGUUGGAUGGACAUGUCUACCAGGCAAAGACAGCAGCUAGUGUUCAUCACAUCUGCAGUCCGACUCUGGCAGGAUCAGGACUCGGAUGGCCAGUGCCUAUGGGGCUGAGAGUGAGGAGGGACCUGGAACCUCAUGGGGACAGGAAAAGGUCAGACAUGUGCUACGCAUCUUGCAGAAAUUCUCAGAGUCUUUUGGAAAAUCAUUUUUUGAAUGUGUGAUGCAUGUGGGAUUCAGGAUCUGGCCCAAAUUUUUUAAAAGAUCCCUAAUCAAUUAGUUGUCUUUUAAUGUGUAUAUAGUCCUUGUGGUACUGUAGCCUGGUUCAAGGGAUGUCAAGGUGGACGACUUCCUUCAUCACCAGUAGUCAUGGUGAGCAAAAUGUGCUAAUGGAGGGCUGUUUAUUUUCAAGCCAAACAUAAAAUAUUAUUUCUUCUAUCAUUGUGUUCAAGGUCUUGUAAUUGUAGUCAUUGAUUACCAGUGGGUUACGCUUGUGCAAUAAAUAAAAUACCAAGAAUCUAGAAAAGCAGAUCUGCAUAAUAAUAGAGAGAAAGAUGCUCAGGGUCUCUGUAGUUCAUUGGAAUAAAUAGAGGAAUGAAAAUGCCCAGUUGCACAGGGAAGGGCACUGCAAGGGUGAAGAAAAGAUUUGCAGUAGCAGCACUGACAGGAGGAUCGUCCCGUUAUUGAAAAUCUGGGGACGACUAUUAACUAUCAUCCUAACAAUUAAUUAAGUAUUUAGAAGGCAACUGUGUGUUGUGUCAGUGGUACACACAUAUGCUGGGUCUGCAAGUGAGUAUGAGCACUGUUGAUGAACUGUUUUAUUUCACUCUUUUGUCCAGAAAAAGAUACAUUUUCAAACCUGAUUUUUCUGCAAAAUAAUUCUGAUUCUGAGCCUUUUGUUUCCACAUGCUAUGUAUGUUAUUUUUUCUUUUCCCUUCAUUACAGAUUGGUUUUUAAAUGUCAGUGUAUCCACAGGAAAAAUGUAUCAGUAAUAGUAACUGCACUGAAAUGUGCCAAAAUUUUCAAUUCAAAACACUGUGUUUAUUCAUUAUUGACUCAUCAACUUAUUGCAGCUCCUGCUUUUUAUUGCACUUCAGAUAGAAACAUUUUCAAAAUUCAAAAUAUUUUGCAGAUGUAGGAAAAAUAUUUCAUCUCACAGUUUUAAAACCAUAAAGGUGAACCAAAACCAACUUGUUGUUUCUAUUAAAAAUUUCCCUUGAUAUGAAAUGUGUCCUCUGAUUCCAGCCAUGUGGAGUUUAUAUGAUCCAUAAGCAUAAUUCGGAGGUUGUAAUCUCUCUAUCACUAUUUACCUAAAGGCCUCAUGCCUAAAGCUUGUCUGCUUUCCCUCAUACCUCAGUCAGGCAAACAAAUUAAAUUUCUUUCUCUUCAUAGAAUCAUAGAAUGGCUUGGGUUGGAAGGGACCUCAAAGACCAUCUAGUUUCAACUCCCUGCCAUGGACAGUGUUGCCACCCACUAAAUCAGGCACCAGACCAGGCUGCCCAGGGCCCCAUGCAGCCUGGCCUUGGACACCUCCAGGGAUGGGGCAUUUUCUCUUGUACAGAUCUUGCCAGACUCCUAUCUUCAAACCCUUGUUACUUCACUAAUUAUGCUAUAAUAAGUAUUAUGAAUAUUCAUUAUGCAAUUUAAGUUUAAAAAGUGUUGUAAUACAUCACUGGAGACCUUUCUCUGGGCAUCAUUCUGGGCUCCAGAGGAAAUUUUAUGUGUUCUCUUGAAGUUCCUGGGCCAUUCUUAUGGCUAUUUCUUAUUAAUUAAGAUUUCUAACUGUAAACAAAAUUAUUAAGUGUUCCCUUAAGUGAGCAUCAUUCAAAUUUUGAAAAAUGUACUUUGAAAAAUAUAAAACACAAGCACAGGAGAGAGAAAACAGCUCUUAGAAAGGGUAGAUAAUGGCAGGACAAGGGGAACUGAUUUUAAGUUGAAGGAGGGAAGAUUUAGGUUGGAUAUAAGAGGAAAGUUCCUUACUGUGAGAGUGGUGAGGUGCUGGAACAGGCUGCCCAGAGGGGCUGUCUAUGCCCUGACCCUGGAGGUGUUCAAGGCCAGGUUGGAUGGGGCCUUGGACAGCCUGGUCUAGUAUUAAAUGUGGAGGUUGGCAGCCCUGCCUGUGGCAGGGGGGUUGGAGCUUGAUAAUCCUUGAGAUCCCUUCCAACCCAAGCCAUUCUAUGAAAACACAAGCUAACAUAGGAAACUGCAUGCCACCAUACACCCUCUAAUGCUCUUUGAUCUGAAGACCCCUCACAGUUUGAAGGAGAUGGAGAAGAGCUUUCAAGAAAGGAGGCUAGAAGAGACCAGUUGAGGGCACUUUGGAGGAUGGGGAGAGGAAAUUGGGUUUUGGAGAGAGAGAGAGGGGAGGUGAAUGUGAGGGCUAUGAGGAGGUUUCAGGACACUCCAUGAGACAAAGAAGGAAUGGAAUUAGGUAGCACAGGGAUGUUUAAUGCCUCUGGAGCAGAGUUGGGUGGGAUCCUUAAGCAAAUCCCCAACCAGAUCCCCCACCAUCUCUAAUCAUUUGGGAGCCAGUGCAACCUGCCAUGUCCCUAAACUACCUCUCAAUUAACUCCUCCACCUACAGUUCACACUGCUGCCAACGUCAAUGUCUCCUAUUUGCUUCUUCCAGAAGAGUCAGGUCCUGUUCCAUGGAGAAACAGAAGGAAUUAGAGUAUCCUCCUCUCAACAAAGACAGUUCUUCCAUUUCAUGGAAAGAGGAUGCACCACUGCUUGCUUCAGUCUGCUAUAAUACUUGCAGAAAUUGCCUACAUCAUCUACAUUCAAAGCCUGCUCUGUAAUGGGCAGUGGAUAUCACUUAUGUAAUUAAGCAGAGGUAAAUAAACAUGCGUAUGGUACGCAGUUAAGCUAAUCAUCCCAGAUUAUCAGUACAGUCAGUGAGGACAUAGACAGGCUAUGCAUAGGAAUCUUGAGUGUGAUUCGUCCUCCUUAAGUAAAUGUAUACAGUAGGUCAGGAAAACUGCACCCUAAAAACACUUAUUUCUCUUCCUUGCCUAUAAGGAGAGCCCAGAGUGAUUAGCACAGCUGUAGAUAUCUAUUCUGUAGAUGCUGAAAGAGAAAUGACACAAAUUCCACCCUGAUGUCUGCAAAAACAAAUGAAGUUUGCCAUAAUGGUGGUGGUUGAGCUGUGGCUUGCAACGCACAACAGGAAUAUGUGGAGAUGCUUCUAGCUUCUCCUUGAUCAACUCUGAGCAUCAAUAGUUUGCAGAGGUGUCUCAGGGCACUUGUUGCUAAAGUCAUAAUUAGUCUGUUGGUAAGGUGGGACACAAAUCAGAUUUAGAUUCCUGAAAGAGAUGCAGCUCUUACAUUGUGGAGGAUAAAAACAGAACAUUUAAUUGCCAAAUGGACAUAUGAAUAUGUCGAUCAAAAAACUUUUUUUUUUUUUUUGGGGGGGGGGGGGGAAGUAAAAAGUUAUGUCUUAGGUGGAGGAACAACUGGCUAAUCCUUCAUAGAAUCAUUAUCCUAGAAUCAUAGAUUCAUUAAGGUUGGAAGAGACCAAGAUCAUCUGCUCCAACUGUCGACUCAUCCCCAGCAUGCCCACUAAAUCAUACCCCUCAGUGCCUGAACUCUUCCAGGGACAGUGACUCCACCACCUCCCUAGGCAGCCUGUUCCUAUGUGUUACUACUCUUCCUGAGAAUAAUUUUUUCCUAACAUUCAAUCUGAACCUCCCUUGGUACAACUUAAGGCCAUCACCUCUCAUCCUAACUGCUGUUACCUAGGAGAAGAGGCCGACACCCACCUCACUACAACCUCCUUUCAUGCAGUUGUAGAGACCAAUAAGGUCUCCCCUGAGCCUUCUCCAGACUGAACAAUCCCAGUUCCCUCAGUCACUCCUCAUAAGACUUCCAGGAAUUUCAAAGGCCGAAAGUCUCGGUGUUAGCAUUAGGAGAUACCAAAAUGAUCUGACCAUGUAGGGAUGCACCUUGUAGUUGUAUCAUCCCCAGUCUGAGGAGUUGGGGCCAGUGUGGAUACCCUUAUUCCAUCUCACCAAAUGAAGAGCAAAAUAGAAAACCAUUCAUGCUGACUUGCCAGCUACUGCCUUUCAAGUAUCAUUACACAUUUCACAACAAUCUUCUCCUUUUAUAAGUACAAUCACUUGUGGCUCUGGGAUCUACCUACCAACUGCUCUUUAUUCAUCAUUUCUCCAGCAACUCAUACCUUAACAACAUUACACCAGAGCAGAGCCUGUCUGUGGCUCCACACAGAGCUCGACAAUGUCCUGCCUACAUGUGGAUGGAUGGAGGCAGUCAGUAAGAAGCAACUUUAGGCACUGCCUUCUCCCUGGGAACUACAGGCAUUGACUCUGGAGCAUAUCCCAGCUCUUGCCAGCACAGUAAGCAAGAGAUUUCAUCAUAAUCAUUUUAAUAUCUUUCAAAUGUUGCAUGGACAGAUAGCAGUCCAGGAAGAAUAUACACUAGAGGGUAGUCAGGGAGCGUGAUUAGUAUUGGAAACAAGUAUUUUUCUUGGCAGAGGAUGAGCAUGCCAUUUGACAGAUAGCAAAACACGGCAAGAAUGCUGCUCAGUAGUAGCAAAUGCCAAACAUUCUCUUGUGUACACCGAAGAAACUGAGUUUUGUUUUGUCUUGUUUUGUUUUUAAGCAUAGGGGAAGGGAGGGGGCUUACCACUGUCUGCAGUAGCACACAUGGCAGUACCUGCUUCUACUGCACUGUGCUCACAGCAGCUGGGAGCAUUUUCCAUGUGGGAUGGUUCUUCUCCCAAACCAAUCUAACAGGGUUAAUAAGCAAUCUGAAAAUACUGACUGGGCUUUAAUUUCUGCUGGUGGAGAGCAAACCAUUACCAUUACCAUCUUUCACACAUACAUGCAUCUCAUCUUCUGUAUCAGUGUCUGUCAGCUGUUGAAGUCAGCCAAGAAAAAAUGGGAUUAUUUCUGAGCAGUCUGGACUUCUGAGAGCCCUUUAAAUUAAAACAAAGCUCUAUGUCAACAAAGUUUUAUUUUGGUAUGUUUUACUCCAUUGCCAUAUACUGCAGAAUAAAGUGUUUGGGUGUCUAAAGAGAAAGUUAAACAGUAAUUAUUUAAUUUUCAGAUUGUCUCUGGUAGGCAUCCAGGGCAAUGAGAUUUUGAUAAAUAUUUUAUAUGGAUUUUUACAGAAUGUGUAUCAUCUGCUCUUCUAUAUGGAAGCAGACAACUUCUUGUCUGUGGUGCCAAUGAUUUUAACCUAAGUCACAGCUUGACAGGAUAGUUUUUUUAGAAAAAAAAGCACCAGGAUAAAAAAUCAUCCCUCGGCCUGGGAGAGUGAUUUUCCACUCAGGUGCAAUGCAGCUUCUCAGAGUCACUCAGGCAAAGGCUCUGCAGUCCUGAACUGGCCUGGUUUCCUCAGCUGUGGCCUUUUUCUUAUGAGAGGACAGCUGAUUGCAUGACCCCAUGAAACACAAUUUAGUGGAUAAAUCUGGAAGGCAAAACAAAUCCUUGCUUUUGAACCAAGCCCAAGAUAAACACCUGGGUAAAAGAAGAGCCAUCACACAGCUUUUCACAGAACCAGCUCUUCCAAAGUUUGGACACAACACUUUUCAUUCUUCAUUCAUUUCUUAGGGCUUGUGAAAGUAGAAGUGUUUUCUUCAGCUCUUGAUUUUACACGUUCAGUCAUGCUACCUGCUAUGCUUGGAACAAUCUUGUACAUCCUUUCAUGAAAUCUCCUCCCACCUCUCCAUACAAUGCAUUCCCACAGCAGUGCUGCCUCUUCUUUUCCUCUAAGGUCACUGCUCUCCCUAGAAUUUGGGCCAGCUGUUACUCCUGUGGCGUUGUUCACUUUCUCCAGAUUACCCUGUGUACUCCUCAGGGAUGAAUACCUUACUACACACUGGAGAAGCAAACUGAAGUCCAACCAAAGUUAAUGGCAAAAUUCCCAUCAACUUCAACAGAGCCAGGAUUUUGCUCAAAGUAUUCAAAUGAGUCCUUCGCUGGGCGUCUGUGAUGCAGAUAUUUCUGUGUCCAAGGGCAAAUUGUAUCUCCUAUCUACAUGUAAAGCAGACCGGACAGCUAAUAUUUUCAGUGUAGUAUUUCUGUCUAAAAUAAGCAAUUUUGUCUGAUAGCAAUAUAGAAUUUUAUAUAGCAUGUAAAAGCCUGAUUAUAUAAAGCUUUUUGUUCUUUUUUUCCACUUCAGUUGGCAAAUAUAUAUUUGCAGAUAUCUUAUCUAUAUGUUGCUGUUUCCUUGAGCACCUCAAACAAUAAAUCGAAACAUGCCUCAUGGUAACAUUGUUGGGUAUUUUUCUCUCACCCACAUACAUACCUACAAAGGUUUAAAAUACAACUUUUGAAAAGAUUCAGGACUGAAGGGGGAAAAUAAUCUUAUUAUGCAACAAUUAAUUGUCCUGCCAAAUGUGGGUGCCUUGGAAGCUUGAACAACCCGCCAACACACCUGUGUACAUUGGCAUUAAGUUAAAUCAAUAACAAAAAAAAGGCCCGCAGCCAAUUACCUGUCACAUGGAGAUUCAUUUUAAGUGGAGGUUUUACAAGCAUAACUUGAAUCAUAUCAUACUUACAAGAUAGUCCGUAUAUGAUAUUUACAAAGAUAUUUGAAUUGAGAAUAACAUUGAACCAAAAAGCUGUGUAUUACAAUGUCAUUAAGAAGCAAUCAACAGCCACAGUAGCAAUUAAUUUUCUGUCACAACAGAGAACAGUAAUUUACCAAAAUACAGAUAGGAGCAAAAAGAAAUGUGUUUUCUCUAAAUUGCAAUUUCUUGUAAUUAUUAUCAUACAUUAGGCCAGGAAAAAUGUCAUUUCCUACUUCCUGUCUUUCACUGUCUUGAUAUAUAUGCCUCACGUAUGCCCAUUUAUUGCUUUGUAAUUAUUUUCCAAAUAGUUCUUUGGUUGUUUAAAAACAGCUCAGCCUUAUUUCUUGUAUUUUUUUCCAGUAUAUGAAGAAAUUACAUGAUUACUAUUUCCUCCUUUACAGUGAUUGCCAAACCAGGUUCAUGAACGUAACAAUCAUGCAGUAUGGAGUAAACAGGAGUCAGAAGCACAGUUCUGUCCCUCUUCCAGUUCUGCCCAUCAAGGCACAUCAGACAUCAAGGAUGGUCUCGUAGGUAGUUUUCAUAAUGGGAAAGGACCUAAUAGUGGUAACAAAGCCUUGAUGUGCAAGAUGCUGUAUGAAUCUUCAGCCCCCAUCCAUUUCAGUAGAUGUUAAAGGUGCAAAGUAUUUGGCCUAAUUCAUCAACUUGUCUUUCUCUACUUACUUCUUCACCACAGAGUAACUCAAAAAGUCACUGUAGGUUUUGAGUUGUUCUCUGCAGUCCUGUAUUCUAGAUUCUAUUUUUUUUUAAGGUAUAUUCAUUUAUUAGUAUGAAUCAUGGUCAAUUUAAAAAGCUUUCAUGUUAAAGACAGUACUCAUAAAAUCUAUAAUGGAUAUUUCAUCCAUUUUCCAAGAAUUCUGAAGAUCAUUUUUUAAUCAUGAUGAAUCAACAGCUCCUUCUGACACAGCACUGUUUCUCCACCAAGGCCAUUGCAUGGCAUGCAGGCAUGCUGUCAGAGCAGAACCAGCUUCAGGAUGUGCUAUGACUUGACCUGCCUGCAAGAGAGGAUAGAACAUCCUGUAACUUAAGAACUCUUCCAGCAAUCCUCCAAUUGUUUCAAAAUUAUUUGAUAAAAAUGCAAUUUAGGUCCUCUUGAGGUUCAUCUUAUAGGGAAAUAUACCUUUACAUUAAUACACUGGUAUAAGGCUAGAAUGUAACAGAUGAGAACUGCAGUUGUUCUAACUACUGUAAUGUUUUGUGAGCUGGGAAGAUUUCAUUCCACUUCACUAUGAAUUUGAUCAAGUUAAAUUUCAGUAAGAAAAAUGAUGGUAACAUAAUGCCAAAGAUCCAUUAAACAAGAUCUUACUGCACUAAGUGUUGCAUAUAUUGAAUUAAAAGAUUGCCUUACUGUUGUGGUUUAACCCAGCAAGUGGCAAAGCACCACACAGUCAUUCAUUCACUGUUCCUCUUCCAAGUGGGAUUGGGGAGAGAACUGGAGUUGCGCCAGGGGAGAUUCACGUUGGAUAUUAGGGAAAAUUUCUUCUCUGAAAGAGUGAUCAGGCACUGGAAUGGGCUGCCCAGGGUGGUGGUGGAGUCACUGUCCAUGGAGGUGUUCAAGAAAUGUUUAGAUGUUGUACUGAGGAACAUGGUUUAGUGAGGAAAUAUUGGUGGUAGGUGGAUGGUUGUGCUUGAUCUUGGAGGUCUUUUCCAAUCUUAAUGGCCUCAAUGACUAUGAACUAUCAUUAAAAGUGACACUCAGGAGAACAGUUCCAACUGUUCACAAACAUGUUUUCCCUGUCAGACUUGAUUUUCUAUAUUUCCAUAAUUUUUUACCAUAAACUCUGUGUUUUAUAAGAUUGUCUGUAUAUUUGAGGGUUCUCUUCUGAAGAUGUUAUUCCAGAAUGGUUUUAUUCUUUAAAUAUUAAGGUGAAGAGAAUCAAAGAUUUUACACCCUUCCUCUCAAGCUGCCUUAUUCUUCAAAAAAUGUUUAGAAUUGCAUUAACAUCUUGUAAAACUAUAACAUUAGCAGCUAGAAGUCAUUGUUAAAGCUUGAAGACACUGUCAGUGAAGUCACAUUAAUUAAUGUUUCCUGUGUUAAUGUAUCUAAAUCUUAACUGUAAUUGAGUAGUUACAUCAGCUAGGUUGUCCUUUUUACUUUUUCAGACCUUAAGCAGUAUUGAUGAGUAUUUCCUGUUAUCUGAAUAACAAUAUACUCCAGGAUUGUAAAGGUAAUGUGUCCAUUAGCAGUAAGUCUCUCACUGGCCCUUACAGCUCCCACAUCCUCGUUGGAAAACAGGGCCACAGUCCUGAAGACCUGAGGCUGUUUUAAGCUCCUCAAAUAAAGACGUUUCUCUCAAAGCAGAGUUAGAAGCUGAAGAUAACAGAGUGCAAUAGGACUUGUGAAAAGGAUGUCAGCAAUGUCAGUUGUCAUGGUUUCAGGUCUGAGAGAACGUUAAGUUUCUGAACUUGUUCUGUUAUCAGAGCCACUCUCAGUUCCCCAUUUAUUGCCAAACUAUGUAGACUCAGAGAAGCUGGAAACAUGAGGGACCUGUCUGGCAUCUGAGUUCAGACUCUUUCAGGAAUGCUCCAUACCUAAGUUUCCAAAACAUACCAAGUGCUAAAUGGCUUCAUCCAGGGACCCUUGAAGCCACUGAAGUGCAAUGUAUCAUUGAGGUGCUUUUCUCGUCCAAUAAUUCUAAUUUUUGUAGAGUUACUUAUAAGGUCUUGCAUCUGCAAAGCAGAAAAAAAGAUUGAGAAAACUUUAUUUCCAAAAAUUAAAAAUUAAAUAAAGGUUAAUUUAAUAAAGGUGAUCGUAUUUCAAUUAAAAAAAAAAAAAAAAAAAAAAAGUACAGUUCCUUUUCACGGUUUUAACAUCAGAAAUGUUUAAACAGCCAACACCUCCCAACCAGGUAUCUUUUUUGAAGCAUCUAUAUAUUGAACAAAAUAGUUAGGAGUUAUCAUAUCUACUGCGACCUAGUAGUAUUUUUGAUACAGGAUUUCAGAUCAAUUAACAGAGGGUCACAGAGUGAGAACUACUUAAGAGUGUGUCCCAGGUAGGGCACUGCCAAUGGCACAAGCCAAGCAGAACGCAGGAAUUCAUCCUUGAGAUCCAACUGGAAGAUGUCAUUGAAAUGCCACAAGUUCUGUCUGCCAGACUUCAAGUUGACAGGAUUGAGAGCUUCCCUCUUUGGAAAAAAAAAAAAAAGACAACAGAUAAAGAUGCCUCAGUGGAAAUAUGCCAGGUUUCUAUGCAAUCACUCACCUCGUCAAGCUGGAAUAAUUUCCACAUUGCUCCAUCAUACAUUGACUCGAAUUACACUAUAACUUUGAAAUCAACAUUUUCUAGUUGUCUCCUUGAAAACUUCUCAAAAUGAUCUUCUUAUCCUUUCUGUUUUCUUGCAUUCUGAUGCUGAUUUCUUGCAUUCAUCUGAUGCUGAUUUCUUGCAUUCUUCUGAUGCUCAUCGUAUUUGGAGUACAGUAUCAGCUGCAACUGAGGAUACAAACCGAUACAUAUACUGACUACAGAUAUGUUUGCAUUUACACUUGUGUAUGCGUACUGCAUUGCAGUGGAAAAAAAAAAAAACGUUUACUUAAGUGAAAUUGGUAUUACUCUGUUCUCAUAUGGCUAUGCAGAGGGCACGGUUACCUUCCAGUGGGAAAUAGAUACCAUAGAGGCAUUUAACAUCAAGCAGUUGACGGUGAAACUACACACGCUUUCAUAUAAAAUGCCACGGAACUAAGUUACUGCAUUCUUCAAUAUUCUUCUCUGAGACCACUUCUAACUUUUAUGAUCCCUCUAAUUCAAACUUAAGUAAUAGAGAAUGUGUCAAUACAACUUUCCCUUUAAGUAUUGCUAAGGAGCAUGCAGGAGCCCACAUGUUUGCUUAACUGGCCCUGCAACCAACACUGCUAACAAUAAAACCAGAAGUUCAAACCCAGUUCCUUGCUUUCAAGUAUGCCCUUCAAACAGAAAAUACCAGUUUGUCAUCCUUCUAAAACAAAGUGCAUGAUAACCAGGAAUAAAUCUAACGUAUCUACCCCAUCAUUUUACUGACUUUUUUCAACACAUACUUUCUACCAAAGGUAACAGCUACUCAUGGCAUAUAUGCGUGUGCAUUGGUAAGCAUGCCUCAGAGACAUACAACCUCCCCCACCCUGCAUUUUCAAGUGCUAUAACACACUGCCUGCUUCCUAGUCCUGCAAAUACCCUUGAAGUGGAAUAAUGUUUAACAGAGGGCAAUACUGCUGGAGAACUGCCAAAGAAAUGAAGGGUGAGGGAAGCCAGUCAAGGCAUUCUGAUGAAUAUUUUUGUAUCUCCAAAGACACAACUAUUAUGCAAACAUUGACCUGUUUGUCAAGCAAUCACAGUUUACUAUUGCUUAAAGGUCACAGAAGUUUCUAAGAUUAUUAAAUAAUGCAUGGAGCCAAAGACCAAGGAUAUUAUUUAAACAGUGGAGGUAACUUUUGUUAGUGAAGGACAAUACGAUGACAAUGCCCCUUUAUUUUCCCUUGAAAAUCUCUAGAGUUUGCACUGUAAUAUAGUAAUGGCCCGUUUAAGCUGAAAGAAGGAACUCUGCUGCGGAAAUGUGGCUCAGUACUACAAUAAAAUAUUACAUGCAUUUUUCUCCCCCUUUCUCUACAUUUGUUGGUACAUGAUUUAUGUUUUUCUACAGGCCUUUCUCUGGUGCUAGGGAGCAACAGUCUCUCCAGCAGUCUAUACACAUAUAUUUGUGAAUGCAAUGAUCAGUCCCCAUUUGUCUUUCCAAUGUGGAUUAUAAUCCAGUGCAAAAAUUGUUUUGCAACAAUUGAGAGUAUGUGCUGUGCACACAUAAACAGGAAUCAGCAGAGGUUUGCAAAACCUAGUAUCAACUUUGUCAUCUGUUGAGACUGCUUCAUGAUAAGAAAUCCCACACUUACAGUUUCCCAAAGGCUGCAGUCCCUUCUAUUCUCACUAGGCCUUCCAGGUCAUCUCUUCAUGGUCUUCAGAUAUUCCCAAACUCCAGCUAGGUGAGUGAUCCCUUCCAAUGCAAAGAAUUCUGCUCCAUGACCUUCAGUUUCCAGGUAGCUGCCCUUUUGACAGAGACCCAGAAGGAUACAUUUCCCCCAUUUCACCAAGCAGCUACCAAGUUGUUCUGAAAGCUGCAGUGAGCUGGCCCUGGGAUCUUCAUCAGAAACUACAAGCAGAUAAUCUCAAAGGUUUUGUUCCAUCUCAGAAAUAAUCAGUAGUUCCCUCUACAUUUAUAAAGCACAGCUCUGUAUAAACUGGAAGAUAAUGGAAGUGAAGUAUUAAUGACAGAAUUUCUGAUUUAAACAAAAUGAAUAAAAAAAGAAUAGCAGUCAUGAAUUUGGGUGGAUUCUAGCACUCAGUGUUUUUUUUUCUUCUUGGUGGUACUUGGCUACUGUUGCCUCAUUUUUAUGAACAUUUAUAUUUGGAAGACUCCCCAUUAUCAUUCUGCUUGGUUGCCAACAGCAAAAGCCAUAACGACAGGUCCAAGAAGGGACAGAGAAAGAAGAACAUUUGGAGGCCAACAGAGAACUAAAAUUUCAGUUUCAUUCAUCAUGAUCAUGAAUAUGCACUCCCAUCAAAACAUUUAUAGGUGACUUACAGUAAUAUGAAAGACACCUAGCUGCCAAGAAACCUUUGGUCAUAUCACAGGGCAACCGAGGUUAUCAUCAAGAACAAAAACUAAUCUUAAAAAAAAAAUCCAAUAAAAAGACAAUAUCUCUGGACAAUUAUUUCACAUGACAAAUAUCACGACUUCAUAGAAUAACUCAGUCAUUCCAAGAAGCACUAUUUCUCCUGGAAAUCCAGAUGAAGUGAUUUGUGGAGUGGGAGGUACCUAAUAAAGCCAGUGGAAGUGUUGGCAGGGAGUUUAAUGGCACAGCACCAGAAUGACACUCCUGACCUUACAGUUUAAGCAAGAUGCCUUCAGAGGAAAGAGAAGAAAGAGCCCGUUAUUAAUGGAGUUGACAGAUACAGAAUUAAGCCUGAUAAACCCAAACUACAUUCUUCAGAGUCACCUUCCCACUGAAAACUUAUGGGCAUUUGAAAUUACAUGCAGUAACUUCAUUUCUUAUCCCAAGAGGAGGUGAGUAUUCGUUUGUAUACCCUGGAGACUCUUCAAAUAAACCACUGCUCAGGGCACUGUCUGCCAGACCCACCUUCCCUAUGAUCUAGGGGAGAAAAGCAUCAAAUGAAAGCCAGAAAGUUCACCCAUCUGGAUGCAACCUGCACGUACUAAAGUGGGCAUGUCUGUUCUGUUAGCAGAGAUCCCCAGCUCCCAGCUCAGUGCAGCGCCAGGAGGAGACGCCAUGCCAGGUCAUGAAGCCAGAUCUGUAUUCAUAGGCUGUUGAACCCAAAUAAGAAAUCCUCUCUGUCCACAUUCAGCAGUAAUACAUGGCAUGCACCCAGUGUGCUCAGGUGGAUUAUACAGAUGUGUGCAGUACCUAAACCAUGCUGCUGCCAGCUCUCCAUGGCAACUCAUUUCAGCAAAGACAGGGACACUUGUAGGAAAGCAAACUGAUGCAGGAGAAUUUAAUAAGUCUUGAGCCUACAUGAAAAUAAAGCCAAGCUUUCCUUAUCCUGUCUUGUCCUCACUGUUCAAUAAAAAGAAUGCAAGAAAAAAAAGCAAUCUGUAGAGUAUAAAUCAUGACUUGAUAAAUGUAGGUCCUUAGAAGCCAGUUGUGUAAAUACAGAUACACCUGCAGGCCCUGAUAACCAGAUUAGCAGCAACAGCUGCCAGACCAUGCAGCAACAACCAAGAGAUAUUGUUGUGUCCUGGCCAACGAAGUUUCCAGAUUGACUCUCAGGUGCUUCCCGUACAUCACUGUUAGUGAGAGCAAUGCAUCAUGAAAGUAGAUGAUCUCCAUUGAUCUUGAAAAUGUAACAUUUUUCUCUUUGAAUGUAUACAAUGCAGUUUGACACUCGCACUAGUUCACAGUACCUCCAGUGUACAAAGGGAUGAGACUUUGUCUGCUGGCAGCUGGGAAGAAUAUCUGAACAGGAAAAAAGAAGUUGUGUCUGGGUUUGGUAUGACCUCAUGUUAAAUAGUAUAUCCUUAUUGGGUAAAUAUCCAUAUCAACUGAUUCAUAGGUGUCCUGCCUUACCUGUUCUUAUUGAAAAUUAGAAUCUAAAAUUAACAAUUUUUCUUGGCAAAGCUCCACUUGAAUUACAUGAAAAAAUCUGAUGAUCCUCAGAGUGACAAGAAGUACAAGCUAGAUCUAGAAAUAUACACAGGCAUAGACAGAGGGGAAAAAAAAUCUUUUUGUCCCUACCAACAAAUCUAACAUCAGUGGUUCUAUCUCAGCACUGCUCUUGUUAUUCUUCCUAGAAAUAGAGAUAGUUCAUAGACAAUAUAAUAAAAUUUAGGUGCUUGUGACCCACUGAGACUGUUGAGCCAGGCCUUCCUUGGUGGUACAGUUCCACUGGGGCUGAGGCAGUGGUAGAGCCAGGGCUGAUAACAUCAUCCACUGGCAGCCCCCAACACAGCAAGCCAUCAACCUGCCAUGAGCAGAAGGAGGUGGGCCCAGAGACACUGCUGUAGGGCAGUUCUCCUGCAACAUUGCCAAAGCAAGACAACCAGCACCAGGCAGGACUGAAACAAGGCUCCUGGGCAUGGAAAGCAGUGGGUUGAGGCUCCCACUAUGAGUAGUAUCCUCAGGAAAAUCCUUUAUAGGAAAGUGUUUGAAUACCUUUAUAUCCAAAUUCAUGUGAUAAUCCUGCCCUAAAGGACUGGCAGGACUUAGGCAUGAACUAACCAGCCAAGAACUAGUCUUCCACCACGAGUAUCGGGUCUAGACUAAAAAGCCUGUGUUUCUACUCAUUUCUAAUGAUUCAAAUGACUCCCUUCUUGACAAGAAUAUCUACUGCAACCAAAAACAGUGAAAACUUGAUAUAAGUUGAAAUGUUGACUGUAUAGUUAAUAUGGACUGAACACCUAGUCAGAUCAAAAUAACUGAAAUAAUUGAAGGGUUACUGUAUGCUGGAUGUCUCUUGUCUUUGUGAGUAGUGGAAUGGAUACUCUCACAGGCAAGCUGUGAGGCAACAAAUUCAGCCUUCACAUUUCCAGUCAAGAGGCACUGCACUGCAGACAGAACUCUGAAGAAUAAUUACUGAUUACUAAUAUACUGUGGAGAAAUUGCUUUAUUACAAGGUGCAUUCUAACAUGCUGUAAAGAUGUACAAAAAAAAAAAAAAACAAAACAAAACAGAAAAAUUAAAUACUUAAAAGAUGAUUCUAGCUUGUUGUGGCCUGUUGCAAAGCAGUUAUAAAUUGGAGUACUUACAGCGGUUCAUGCAUGUCCCUGCAUGUUUGAACAGCAUAUCAGAGAAUUUAUUUAUCAGGGGAAAAAAAAGUCUCUGCUAAGUCAUUUAGUUCUUAAAAAGGUUCCUGUCAUUUACAGUUUUGCCAGAUUCUAUAAGGCGCAAUACCAGAUUGUCACAUGGGAAAGGCUUGCAGAUUCAAGUCCUUAUUCUUCCCUCUAGCGAGUACUGGAACGAACAAAUUUGGGACACAGAGGUUACGUCAAAGCCUUCCAACUCUUUGAAGGAUAAUUACCAUAGCUGCAUAAUCACAUGGUCUACCUUCCAUGCGUUCAUGUUAAGGAGAGGACAUUAAUCUAACUAACGCCCAGCGGCUGACAUUAUAUAUAUAUAUAUAUAUAUAUACUAUAGUUCUCUAUAAGAUAUAGCACACCACUUAACAGCUGCAGAAAACUCUUUACUACAUUCACAAACCCUUGAUGGAAAGAGCUGCUUAAUUCUUUUCAGACCUGUCAUAUUAGGUAAGAGUGUUCUGCUGCAGGAUGAUGAUGAUGCUAAUUGUCACAUUGUAUUGUUUCACUAGACAGCCUAGCCCACUACUUUAUUAUGGGUUAUGUAAGAGUUACAAGAGGUAGCCAAUAAACAGUGCACUAACAGAAUCAUUUACACUCUGAAAUGUUCAGAAGUACUCACAGGUAUGUCUAGAAGUCAUCUAAAACAACGCUUUGGUUCCAGGGGAUGGCAUGUGCUGAUGCUAUGAUCUAUGUAAGACUCUCCUCAGCAAACAAAUCACAAAGAAUGUUCCCGCAGCUCUUGGUGUCGGAGGCUUGGAGGAGCUCAUCCUCUUUCAUGUUAUGCAGUAUCCAAAGAGACUAUAGUGCAAUAUUCCCUUUUUCACUAUCUGUACAAAGGUUUUGGUUGACUGGCAAGGAAAUAAUGGAAUCAAAUGGCACAUAACAACUGGCCCUCUCCCAGCGCUUGUCCAUCUUCUUUCAGUCCAUUUGUGAAAUCAUAUGGAAAUCUCAGCAAUGUUGGGAUGUCCAAACAAGCAUGGUGAGCCUUUCAGUCCCUAUUUAAUAUAUUAAUGAUCAAGAAAUUGUGUCCUUUCUCACGUGGUUUGCAAAUCUUUACUGCUGUCAUUUCCACCGGAAAGUGGUAAAAUAUGGAAGUGUUUUGAUGGAGGGAGGAGGAAAAUCUUUUCAGAUACAGUGUAGAAACAAAUAAACACAAGACAUAGUUCCUGGUUUGUAACCAAAAUCAAUAGCCAUAUGCAGCAGGACUGAGGUCAAUUUAUGCUCCCAUGUUUCACAUAUUGACAAAAUCUGUAUUAUUGUAAUGCUGUGUUUUAUUAACCUAUGUCUAAUAAAGCUUAUACUUCAUUAAAAAGCCAUUUUCAAACAGAUUCUAUGCAUUUUAUUAAUAAAUAAAUUUUAUUACUUACUGUAAAAUCAGUAACAUAAAUAAAGUACAUUAAGCAUGUCCUUUUACCUACAGAAAACAUAUCACAACUAUUUUCCUCCAAGAUCUAAUUAGAUUAAGCUUUCAUUUUCAAAACAGAAGAAAAUACCUGGGGCAGAUCUGGCUAUAAGUCAGCACCAUACCUGUUGGCUUCUUUGUUUUGUAUUUUUGUUUAUUUGGUUAUUAUUUUACCAAGUAGCAAAUUUGCCUAUGUAAUAAACAAAAGGAGCCCUCUUGUGAUAGAGCCUACUCAAAAGUAAAAACAGAUACUCGUGAAAAUAUCAAAUGAUUAAUUUUUUUGCAUUUUUUAAACAAUUAAAUGGUGUUCAUUAAUAUUUCAUACUGCACAAAUAUUUUUAUAACCAUGCUUGCUAUCUCUGUAACAUUCAGAUAUGCCUGCAAAUGUUGAGUAGCCAUAGAUCCUAGAGUCAGGCUCUUUAUUACAUAUGCUUAUAACUAUGACUCAUAAACAAGUUCUAAACUAAAUGCAGCAUAUGCAAUUGUUGAAAUAGCACUUUGUUUGGGGGAAAUAGCGUCUUGAAUUAAUGCUAUGAUGGAAGUGUGAACUUGUAUAACAUAUCUGAGUUUCAAUUUCUUACCUUUAAAAUGGGAGAAUUAACUUCAAAUGCUGAGUAUAUCACUCUUGUAAGAGAUAACAAGUCUGGAAACCAAGGAGAGUCCACAGGGUCCUCAUUGUUGAAGCAGGACAAGAAAAUUAAUUUCCCUAGUAAUUAAUAUGUUGCCACUGCAGUAAUAGACCAACAUGACAAGGUGAAGGAUCUUAGUACGAAUAUGAUCCAACAUGAUGCUUGAGCUGCAUGUUGAAAGUAGACAUUGACAUUGAUUGUUUCAUUUCUGGGAGCCUAUCAUCCAUGGCCCUAAUUAACUGCAUUUGGAAAUCUGUGUGAGCUACCUAUGGAACAGGCUUUGUCUGUCCUUGCAUUUCUCCCUGAAUGGGGCUGCAAGGCUAAACUCUCUGGUUGCCUACUUUUACAGUGGGGACAGUUGCAAUACACAUGAGCACAUUUGAAUGGCUGCUUUAACCUUUUCAGUGAGGAGAAGAUGCUCAACCAUGAGACCUCUUGUGAAGAGGAGGCAACACGUCCCAUACCCAAUUCAUUUCACGGAGGUCAUCCAAGUGCUUUCACCAAAUUCUCUUAUUUUCAUUGUGACAUGAGAAGACAUUCUUAUUGAAGUGUGCUUAAAAGAAAGCAGUCCUUGAACUCUGGAGUGACAGAAUUUUGUCUUCGUAGUUCAGUGUGGUCUACUUAUUCCCUGUGAGAGCCGAAGCAAUGCAGGAAGCACACCUUUCCCUGCAACAAUAUGGGAGGGGCUGAUACCUGGGACCUCAGUGAAGCACAGGCUGAGUUUAUUCACAGUCCAGAUUUCCUCAUUACUCCCAUGUUAUCAUUAAUAUUUCAGAUCUCCUCAAAGUCAAAAUACCAGAAUAUCUUUGUUCUCAUGAGAAAUCCAACAGCUCCUGGGGGGAAAACGCUAUCUGGAGAAAAAUCCAGACUAGAAGUGUUUAGCUGAAAAUAAUCCCCACUUUCAUUUUAAUUUACUCAUAUUUUAAUUGGAGGGAAAGAGAUGUGGGAAAUAUUGGUGAGCAGUGAAAAAGGAAGAAAGGCAAAUUCUGUACACCAAUCACUGGAGUAAAAGGUCACACCAAGGGGCAGAAUUUCCCUUCACUACAGCUGAUAAUGUUCCUCUCUAUGGAAUAUCACGGGGAAAAAAAAUCCUAAAUUUCAGUGCUUUUCAGUGAAAAUAUUUGAUUCUUAGUCUCAAGAUUUAGACUGAGAACAGGAGGCAGUGAUGGAAUAAAUGAAAUGGAAAAAACCCUAUUAACACUCCAGGUCUCCUAAGAGUAGAAGUGACAGAACAGCCUUGUUCUUUUAAACAGAGUGCAGAGGACAUUUUAGCAGAAAACAACAACCAGCGAUAAGAUCCUAUUUGAGGGGCAUCAAUUUUCCCCUCAGGGCUCUACACAGAAAAGAACGUAACAGCACAUUUUACUCCUGCUGGAGAUGUGCUAAAGCAGCUGUCCAGUACUUGGAAUAGGAGGAAAAACUGUUCUUUGUUACUUCAGUCUUUCUCUAUAUCUGAUGCAAGUCAGAAUUCAACCUUUGCAAAAUCACAAGUUGUACUCAGCUCUGGAUUUCAGAGUUACAGACCAACUCCUCCAUCAAUUCCUAUUUCCACCAUUCCUAUUUCUCUUCGUCAUACACUGCACUGGUACCCUGCAAUCACAACUUUCCCACAGUACUGAACUUCAAACAGUAAAUCACACACAAUACCAAAGUCUCAUUGAAGAGAGGUUUCAACCCAUAGUGAAAAUUGGUCUCCUGUUUUUCUUAAAAACAGGAAUAAAUUAGUAUUUGCAAACUGACUAUAACACAUCUGUAGUAUUGAGAGCUUUGUAACAGCACCCUUCCAGAGAUCUACCCUGUGUGUGUCCUCCCUUACAUUUAAGUUUCUGAAGUGAGGAGCCGACAUCACACAAGCAAGGCUGGAAGGAGCCCUAUGACAUCACCUCUGCUAUCUUUCUUCCCCAAGGUAUCAAAAGAAGUAAUUUAAGGGCAUUCUGAUAGAUCAGAGAUAGCCACCCAUUUUGUUUGGAGAAAGUAUAUGAAAGCUUUCGUACUUCAGAAGACUAUAGAACAGGCUAGAACUUUCAGAGCAAUACUUCUAUUUUCUGGCACAUUUUUUUCUAACUCGGGAACUCUUUUCACAAGAGUUUUGAUCUCAGGUUUAUCAGGCAGUUGGGGAAGAAAAGAUAAGGACUGAAACAUUUCAAACUAACUGAAAGUAUCUGUGUAAGACUGAACCUAAGGGAAGAUGAAAACUCAAAAGUGGGCAGUUGUGUUCUUGUUUAUCCCAAUCUCACCACACCCACAUGGUAGCAAAAUAGGCCCCAUGCCGAGAAUUUGUGGCAAGAGCCUAUUGUGUGGGCUUGGAAUAAUUUAAGAAUUGACUGUCAGUCUGUUUCUUGGCUUCCAGCUAUGAAGUAAUGCUCUAAGUAGAGAGCGAUACUCUGAAGCGCUCAUUACAAUCUUUAAAGCUGUCUCAUUUUCAAUUAUGAAUAUUAAAAAGAAGUACUCAGUAAUUCCUGCAUUAUAAUUAAUAUUCCAACUUUUGGUGUGGCUUGUUGGUUUUUUAAGGUCUAUUUUUAAAGACACUCUCUUAACUUAUUCCGGAGUUAGUUCCCAACAACCAAAUAUUGUUCCUGUUUAUAUCAGUGGGGAAAGUCCCAGUGAAAAAACUAAUCAGACCGAAGUUAAUGAAAACAACACCCCCAUUUAAAACAAUGCCCUAGCCUUAAACAAUCUGCUCGCAUUGCCUACUUGUAUAAAAUUUUAUAGCCUGCAUGUUCCAACCUUAAAAAAAAAAAUCCUGAUUAUUUAUUUAUGCCCUUUUUGUUUAAGAAGUUAAAUCCCCAGAGCAUCUCAAUUUAGAUCAAAAGCAAGCUACCAAAAUUCACCUGGCACACCUGUGCCGUGUGAUUUCUUAAUUACUUGCCUAGCAUUCUCAGAGCUACAAGGCAGAGAUGCAGGGCUCGUUUAGCACAUAUUCAGAUCUCUGCAAUGAACCUUGUGUAACAGAGACUUUCCAGAGUGCCCGAGGUGGUAACCAGUGUUAAACGAUCCCAUAUCUCCACAAACACUUGCAUUUCAGCAAUUUGCUUUCUCACAGGUUUCAGAAGACAGAGAGCUAUCUUGGGGUGAGUAAUCUGGGGAAAUAGAUUGAUUUAUUUAUGAGUUUCUUGAUGAAGGUUUUCCCCGGCUAGUGAGCAGCAUGGUGUUCCUUGCGCCAGUAGAGCCUUCUCAGUUCGAAGCGUAGAAGUAGGCCUAUUAAUUAUGAUAGCCACAGGUUGUUAUUACUUACAUUUAUGAUGCAACACCCUAGGAACCAAGGGAAGAGUUUGGCCAUUUCUGUUACACCUCAGACAAGUCUUCAGUUGACAGUCAUGGACAUUAACCUAAAAAGAUGUACUCAAAACAGGAGCAUGAGGUAUGGCACAAACAAGGCUCAUCUGAGGGAGCACACCCCAAGUUUUUGCUGAGACACUUCUUCCUCUUGGCUACAGGAUGUUUCUACACAGUGAUGAGAAACUGAGUUCACAUGUUAGAUGUGACUGCUGCUAUGCUGAUAUGCACGACUGACCAUUGAUAUGCCCCUUGUCUAGCCAGAGAACAUGCACCACUUGGAUGUAGAUGGGCUCAAAUUCAUGUUCAGUUUGCACGUACACUGACAAUUGUGUACAUGCAGGAGAAGAUCAAUCAUGUCUUAAACCUCCCUAGCACUGAGCACUCCUAGCUGUGUGUCUUCAUGCACGCAGUUUUAUAUUUUAAUAGGAUAGUCACGGUAAUUUGUUCUUUACAAGCGGUUUGGAUAGCAAUUAGGCAUCAAAUAUUACAGCUGCUUCUUUGGCUAUUUGUCAUUAGUGUAAUUUCAUUAAUUGGACAAAGCAUUGACUCUGUUAACCUGAAUAUAAUUUAAACUGCUGAAAGCUGAUGGCAUCUCUCUUGGUACAGUGAAAAUACACUGCUCUGUCAGAAAGCUAAAGGCAAUUAUUACUAUUAAUAGUGCAUGCUUCCACAGCACAAAGAAACUUCAGUGCCAUCAGGAUUCCUUACAUGCAAGAGAUGAAGCAGUUGACUUGAAUCACGCACAAGAUGAACAGAUGCAACCUGUGAUCCCUGCUUUAUCAGCGUGUCAUUCACUGUGACCAUUAAUGGACACAGAAAACAUUCAAUUCGAUAAUGUGUCUUUUCAUGAAAGAUUUUAGGAGAAAAUAUUUUCAGUUGUUUGCUUCAAAAUUCAAUUUUUCAUUGAGAAACAUAUCCAUUGCCAAGAAUAUUGCCAAAAAUUGCCAAAAAGUCCCAAAUGAAACCAGAGAUGCUGAAAAGGCUCUGCGCAAGAUCUGUUUCAAGCAAAUAGAAGUCUCUUUUGGCAACACCAUUCUGAUUUGAUUACAGGAAAAGACAAGCCAGUAAAUUUUAAUUUGUAGAUUUGUAAUUUGUUCAUAAAAAUUUCAAAUAAUUUUGCAAGGAAGAUUGCCGUGUAUCUUACAGAUAAUACAAAAGAGAUCUUCAGGUACACUGAGAUUCGGUUGAUCAGGAUACUAAUUACUAAGCUACAUUUAAUUUCAAAAUUUUAAAAUGCUUGAAAACUCAACCAAUCAUCUCUGUUCCUUGAAAACACAUUGUUUUUCAGAAAUAUUACAGAAAAUCUGGGAUAUGGAGAUAUUUUUAAAGGUUGUGCUUCAUAACAAUGCAUUUCCCAGCUUCCUCUGUGCAAUAAAAAGGUAAACUAAGUUAUCAACAAGAAAUCUAUCUGCUAAAAGUUAAUAACAAACAUCUGCUGGUCUCCUGGGAGAGACAGUGGAAAAUGGGUGGGAAUUUCCAGCUUUAAGCAGCCACUCCCGCAAUGUUCAAGUCAACAGAAAAACCUGUCAGUAGAAGGUCAGAGUCAUUAGGAGAUUUUUUCCCCUGCAGAGAAAUAGAUCAGAUACCCAUAAUUUCAGAGACAUUAUUUAGGAUUUUACAAAGUUCUCACAUUAGCUGAAGCUCUUAUGUAAAGCCUACCUUUCGGAGCUACAUCUUAAAGGCUUAUAAGACCACCCUGAAAGGUGCAAAGAAGACACGAACAAGCUCUUGUCAGUGGUGCCCAGUGCUAGGACAAGAGGUGACGGGUGCAAACUGGGGCACAGGAGGUUCUCCCUGUCCAUCAGGAGGCACUUCAGUGCUAUACAGGAGACAGAGCACUGGCACGGGGACACAGAGAGGGUCUCCUCUUUGGAGAUCUCCAAAAGCCACCUGGAUGUGGGCCUGGGCACCCUGCUCUGGGUUGUCCCGCUGGAGCAGGGAUGGGCCAUAUGACUCCAGAUACCUCUUCCAACCUCGGCCAUUCCACGAUUCUGUGGCUAUAAGCAAGCAAAGGUCCCAAUCCACAAAAGAAUACAGUUUAAAAAGAUUCCUAACAUCAGCAAAGUCGAGACAAUAUGUAAUGUCCCAUAUGUUCAUGAUCCUAAGCCCCUUGCACUAUCUUAGGUAAUGCUCUUUUAGUGUCAGAAAUGUCUCAUUUGCCAAUCACUAAGAAUACAUACAUAAGCCAUUAUUUCUGUUCAGUUGAUUCAUGGUCAUUUGUUAGAUUACAGUAAUAUGAUUGUGACGCUGAGUCCUAAGAAGUCAUUAUCUAAGGUAAUUAUAAAUUCUAAAGGAGCAAAAUACUUUCAGCACAUAGAGGGAAAGAACAGGUAGUUUAAUAUGAAGUUCUGCAGGUACCUUCAGAAUGUCUGACCUGAAAGAUGCCAGGUUUUAAUGAGGAAAGAGGAUAAGUGCUGAUAUUCUGUUCUUGUUAACUUGAAAAUUUUGAGAUACUUAAAAACUUUUUUUUAUCCAUAGUUUAUAGAAAAUUUAGCUCUUUCAAUUUGCUAACAAAGUUUUCACCAUGAUAUUACGUAAUAUUGACUGUAGCAUGGUAAGACUUAAAAUGGGUAAAAACCCAUUACUAUUUUUGCAGUUUUCUUUCUUACCAAACCACUUAUUCAGCAAACAAAUAGCAUAAGGUGAUACUAUUUUCAGGUAUUUUCCUGUCUCUGGGAUAACUGCUGAAGCUUACAUCUGUAAAUAUUAGCUUAAGCAACCGGUUAAAUAUAUUUCUGGUCCUCAAAGAAAUAACUGUAGUUAUAUUUAAGCAUUCCUACUUACGAACAUUUUCACGUAAGUAUCUUCUACCAUCAUUGGCUAAUAUCUCUGCCGACCAACUGUCAUGGAUGUGGCGCAGUUCAAAUCAUCUUGCAUUUCUGUGGGUUUACAUCAUCUUAAACCUGUAUUAAUUUGAAGGUACAUUUGGCACAAUGUGAGUUUUAUGGGCAUCACUUGUAGCAUCAGCAAUUAUUGAGAUUACUUGUUUCUUCUCAUUUCAAGCAUGUUGGUGCUGCCAGUGUUACAGUCAUAUGACUAGGGUGAGCCUGACAUGUCAGACACCUGUCUGAGCUUGAAAGAUUUUUGGAAAACUUCAUCCUAAGGAGUUCAGCUUUUUCCAACACUUUGACCAUGGAAAAAUCCCCAUCUUUUUCAUGUUAAACUUCGAAGUAACCUUUUUUUUUUUUUUUUUUUUUUUUACCACAACUUUAAC